GGGUUGACUCGUUCACAAAUCAUCUAUAACCCGUUCACUUAUUAUUUCUCCCACUCAAUUUCCCAAUCUCCGAUCACAACCACGGCGAUCUCUCCCCCCUCUCUCUACAAUGGAAGAAUACCCGGAAGAGCUCCGUACGCCGCCGGUAGCGCUCGUCUCUCUCGUCGGCUGCUCCGAUCUCCACGCCUCGAUCCUCACGCAUCUCCACACCGAACAACCUCCAAUCCACACUCUCGCAUUGCCUGAUUUCUCCAAAAUCUCUCUAUUCGCGAAGGCUCAUAAAGAAAGAACAUCGAUGUCAGCGCCGCCGGUUGGUGUGUUGAAGAAAGAUUGGCUUCUUAAGCAUCGGACUAAGAUUCCGGCUGUUGUCGGCGCUCUUUUUAGCUCUGCUCAUAUCUCAGGUGAUCCUGCUCAGUGGCUUCAGGUCUGCACUGAACUCGAGAAUCUCAAAGUUGUGAUUCAAGGGCGGAACAUCAAAUUGCUUUUGAUUGUUGUUGUACGGUCAAGUUUACUUGACAUAAGUGAAGACCGAAUGAUUUCUUUGCGCAAGCGCGCCGAUGUGGAUUCCAAGUACGUUAUUAACUUGGUCCUGGAUGAUGGGUUAGAACUAAAAAAAUCCCUAAUUAGAUUAGGGAGCACAUUUGCAGAACUAACAAAUGUCUAUUAUCGGGACGAAGGACGAAGGGUAAAAGCACGAAUUGAAAGGAAAAACUUUAGUUCUGUAGAGUUGAAUAUUCGCUAUUGCUUUAAGGCUGCUGUAUAUGCAGAAUUUCGUAGAGACUGGGUUGAAGCAUUGAGGUUUUACGAAGAUGCCUAUCGUGUGCUACGGGAGAUGAUCAGGAUAUCAACAAGAAUGCCACCAAUUCAACGCUUAGUCGAGAUUAAAUUUGUUGCAGAGCAUUUGAACUUCAAAAUAUCAACCUUGCUAUUGCAUGGCGGGAAGAUUACAGAAGCAAUUAUGUGGUUCCGUCGGCACAAUACUGCUUACAGCAAGCUUGUGGGUUCUACAGAAGUAACUUUUCUUCAUUGGGAAUGGCUGAGCAGACAGUUUUUAGUUUUUGCUGAACUACUCGAAACAAGUUCAGCGGCAGCACACAGUAUCUCUUCUCCAGUUGUUUCCGGCGCUGCUGAUAAGCCAACCGAGUGGGAGUUCUAUCCCUCUCACUACUAUCAGUCAGCUGCUCAGUAUUUGAUGGAGAAGAGAGCCUGUCUGGAACUUGGGUUAUCUAUGUUGGACAGUAGCAAUGAUGUUGACGGGAAUGGUGACUCUGUGGUACCUUCUGCUUAUGUCGGUCAGUUUGCCCGUUUACUUGAGCACGGGGAUACAUUUGAAAUGCAACCACUAACUGAUGAAGAAUACACUCGUUAUGCUCUAUCUGAAGGGAAAAGAUUCCAGGAUUCCUUUGAAAUCAUUGCUCUGUUGAAAAAAUCAUAUGAAGCAUACAAAAACAUGAAAGCCAAUAGACUUGCCUCUUAUUGUGGGUUCCAGAUGGCUAGAGAACAUUAUAAUUUGAGUGAAUAUGAUAAUGCAAUACAACUUUUCAGUGAAGUUGCAAAUCUUUACAGACAAGAGGGCUGGAUUGAUUUGUUAUGGGAGGUCUUAGGAUAUCUACGAGAGUGCUCAAGGAAAGUUGGCUCGGUGCAAGGUUUUAUAGAGUACUCACUUGAAAUGGCUGCACUCCCAGUUUCAACUAUAGCUGGCCCGAGGUCUUUUAAAGAUUGUGGACCAGCUGGUCCUGCAACUCUACCACAGAGGGAAGUGAUACACAAAGAAGUCUUUGGGCUUAUCAGAGAAGAUUCAGAAAUUCCAUCAAGCAAAGAUAAUAGUAUUCUCCAAAUUAGUGGUGAUUGUCCUGUUCAUCUUGAGAUUGAUCUUGUCAGUCCUCUUAGAGUGGUCCUUCUUGCCUCAGUUGCUUUUCAUGAACACAUAGUAAAGCCUGAUGCACCAACAUCUAUUACAAUGUCGCUCCUGUCACAAUUACCCCAUACUGUUGAAAUUGACCAGUUAGAGAUCCAGUUCAAUCAAUCUGAGUGUAACUUCAUCAUUGUGAACGGUCAGAGGCUUCAAUCAGCCGCAAUAUCCAAUAUUCAACCAGGUCAUCGAGUAGAGACUGCUCCUUGUUUAUCACUUGCGACAAACAAAUGGCUGAGAUUGACUUAUGACAUAAAAUCUGAACAAAGUGGUAAGCUUGAAUGCAUUUACGUCAUUGCAAGAAUUGGAACCCGUUUCAGUAUAUGUUGCAGAGCGGAGAGCCCUGCCUCGAUGAAUGAUUUACCACUUUGGAAGUUUGAGGACCGAGUGGAAAGUUUUCCGACCAAGGAUCCCGCUCUUUCAUUUUCUGGUCAAAAGGCUACUCAGGUUGAAGAAGCAGAGCCUCAAGUAGAUCUUAAAUUAGGUUCCAGUGAAGGGUACUCAGGCGUGGCACUGGUUGGAGAGAGCUUUAUUGUUCCAGUGACUGUUGCUUCCAAAGGUCAUUCUGUGUACUCAGGUGAGAUAAAAAUAAACCUGGUGGAUACUAGAGUAGGUGGCUUGAUGAGUCCAAGGGAAGAAGAGCUGUUUUCAACAGAUGACCUUCAUGUUGAGCUUCUUGGGAUAUCUGGACAAGAUGAAUCUGAGACAGACACUGACAAAAUUAGAAAAAUCCAGCACUCUUUUGGAUUGAUUUCUGUUCCAUUCUUGAAUGAUGGAGAUUCAUGGUCCUUCAAUCUUGAAAUCAGAUGGCAUCGCCCCAAAUCAGUCAUGCUUUAUGUGUCAUUAGGUUAUUCUCCUCAGAAUAUUGAACCUGCAGCACCAAAAGUUCAUGUUCACAGAAACUUGCAGAUUGAUGGCAAAAUUGCUGUAGUAAUUAGCCAUCGCUAUAUGUUACCCUUCCGACGGGAUCCUCUCUUGCUUUCAACAAUCAAACAAGUUGAUUCCGAUCAGUUGACGUCAUUGCCCAUGAAUGAGACUAGUAUGCUCAUAGCAGUAGCUAAGAACUGCGCCGAAGUGCCAUUGCAGCUUUUGUCAAUGACUAUCGAGGUAGAGAAUGUUGAAAUGGCAAAAUUAUGCACUAUUCGAGAAGGAUGUCAAGAACUUGGGAAUCCUGCACUCCUUGUGCCAACAGAAGAGUUCAAGAAGGUAUUCACUAUCACUCCUGAAUUAAAUCAUCCAAAUUUCAAGAUAGGUACACUGUGUUUGAGAUGGAGAAGGAUAUUGGAACCAGGAGAAAUAUCUGAUUCUUCAUCUACUGCACCUGAGGUUGUGACCAGAUACAGACUUCCUGAUGUGAAGGUGGAGUUGCCUCCAUUGAUCGUGAGUUUGGAGUGUCCUCCUCAUGCAAUCCUUGGCAAUCCAUUUACGUAUUUUGUCAUAAUAAAAAAUCAAACAGAAUUGCUACAAGAGAUUAAGUUCUCAUUGGCAGAUUCACAAAGCUUCGUGUUAUGUGGGCCACACAAUGACACAAUUUUCGUUCUGCCAAAAUCGGAGAAGAUUCUUAGUUACAAGCUUGUACCAUUGGUCUGUGGUUCUCAACAGCUUCCCCGCGUCACUGUAACAUCUUCAAGAUAUGUGACUGGGUUCCAACCUUCCAUUGCUGCAUCCACAAUUUUUGUAUUCCCUUCUACACCUCAUUUUGAGUUGAGUGACAAUGCAGGGAAGGUUAAAGAAAUCAGUUGCAGCUGAGUACAGUCAAGCUAUGUCCUGCAGUUUGGUUAUGGAAUUAUCCCCGAGAAAGUUUUUGAUUUGUAAGAUACUUUUCAUACGAAAGCCUUUUGGCGGGAAAUUUAAAAUGCCUGAACAGAAUUAUCAAUGUGAAGUUAUCAAGGUAUUUGCUCGGAAUUCUGGAUUUGAAUUAGAGGACAGUGCACUACUCAUGUAGUAUAAUGCAGGUUACUCAGGCCCAUGGAAAAGCCAGCAGUUUGUAUACAAAAUAGUUGAUAGUUCUUUUUCUUUAGUAUUCAAAGUUUUUGUUGUGAUUAUAUAUUUCCUGCAGUUGCCCAUCGAGAAAAGUAUUACUAAGCGCUUGCAAACAAAUUUGUUAAGAGUUCUGAAUACAAAAACAUCCUAUUAGUGAGGGAAUUGCACAUUACUUUCUGUAGUAACAACAAUUAAUAACACAUUAUGAAUUGGGGGCACUUCAUUACUA